CACCUCUAGCAUUACCAGUAUUAGAGGCACUGCCUGCCCAGUGACAUUAGUUAAACGGCCGCGGUAUCCUGACCGUGCAAAGGUAGCAUAAUCAUUUGUUCCUUAAUUAGGGACUUGUAUGAAUGGCCCCACGAGGGUUUAACUGUCUCUUACUUUCAAUCAGUGAAAUUGACCCUCCCGUGAAGAGGCGGGAAUACAAAAAUAAGACGAGAAGACCCUAUGGAGCUUAAAUUAAUUUGCUCAACAAAAUUUAAAUUCAGCCCAACAGGAAUAAUUAUAAUUUAACUGAGCAAUAAAUUUUGGUUGGGGUGACCUCGGAGUAUAACAAAACCUCCGAGUGAUUACAACUAAGACAUACUUGUCAAAGUUACGUAACUUAUUGAUCCAAUCAUAUUGAUCAACGAAACAAGUUACCCUAGGGAUAACAGCGCAAUCCUAUUUGAGAGUUCAUAUCGACAAUAGGGUUUACGACCUCGAUGUUGGAUCAGGACACCCAAAUGGUGCAGCAGCUAUUAAAGGUUCGUUUGUUCAACG
rnacentral:rRNA from 1 species